AUCGCUUCUCGGCCUUUUGGCUCAGAUCAAGUGUAGUCUGGAGCCGGGGCUUGCUCCGUCCACUCCACUCCACGCAUCGGCCUGGUAUUGCAGUGUCGCCAGGAACGGUGUGCUUCCC
rnacentral:snRNA from 1 species